CUUUUCGAGGUAGGAGUCGACUCCUGUGAGGUAUGGUGCUGGGUGCAGAUGCAGUGUGGCUCUGGAUAGCACCUUAUGGACAGUUGUGUCCCCAAGGAAGGAUGAGAAUAGCUACUGAAGUCCUAAAGAGCAAGCCUAACUCAAGCCAUUGGCACACAGGCAUUAGACAGAAAGCUGGAAGUUGAAAUGGUGGAGUCCAACUUGCCUGGACCAGCUUAAUGGUUCUGCUCCUGGUAACGUUUUUAUCCAUGGAUGACUUGCUUGGGUAAGGACAUGAAGACAGUUCCUGUCAUACCUUUUAAAGGUACAUGUUUUAUUGAUGUUAACGUUAAUUGAUUGAGCUACUGUUAGUGAUGAUUUUAAAAUUAAAGCAGAUGGGAAUCUCUCUGAGAAAGAAAAUGGAGAUUAAUCUUAAACUGAAACAGUAGUUGGGAAAUCUUUUAGAAAUCCACCUAUUACUACCUAUUGGUAAAGGAGAUUAAAUUUCUACAGGUAUGGAGAGUCGGCUUGACUACACUGUGUGGAGCAAGUUUUAAAGAAGCAAAGGACUCAGAAUUCAUGAUUGAAGAAAUGCAGGUUAGUUUAAACUUUGAAGGAAAUUUUUAAGGUGGCAAAAGGUUUUGGUGGCAUAUACACCUUAAUCUGUAGAUGGGAGUGAUUAGCUGUUUAAAAGUUAAAAUGUGACUGAGAAGGAAAUUGAGUAGGGCAAAUUUUAAAUGGGUAUUAUUUUUCAUCUUCAAACAGGCAGACCUGUUAUCCUAAACUAGGGUUUUUAAUGACCACAACAAGCAAGCAUGCAGCUUACUGCUUGAAAGGGUCUUGCCUCACCCAAGCUAGAGUGCAGUGGCCUUUGAAGCUUACUACAGCCUCAAACUUCUGGGCUCAAGUGAUCCUCAGCCUCCCAGUGGUCUUUGUAGACUGCCUGAUGGAGUCUCAUGGCACAAGAAGAUUAAAACAGUGUCUCCAAUUUUAAUAAAUUUUUGCAAUCCA
rnacentral:lncRNA from 1 species